CCACGCCGUAAACGAUGAGUGCUAGGUGUUAGGCCCUUUCCGGGGCUUAGUGCCGGAGCUAACGCAUUAAGCACUCCGCCUGGGGAGUACGACCGCAAGGUUGAAACUCAAAGGAAUUGACGGGGGCCCGCACAAGCGGUGGAGCAUGUGGUUUAAUUCGAAGCAACGCGAAGAACCUUACCAGGUCUUGACAUCCUCCUGACCGGUCUAGAGAUAGGCUUUCCCUUCGGGGCAGGAGUGACAGGUGGUGCAUGGUUGU
rnacentral:rRNA from 1 species